rnacentral:rRNA from 1 species
GAUGAACGCUGGCGGUACGUCUGACACAUGCAAGUCGAACGGUAAGGGGAGCUUGCUCCCCCUAGAGUGGCGAACGGCUGAGUAACACGUAGGAACCUACCCCCUAGCUCGGGACAGCAGACCGAAAGGCCUGCUAAUACCGGAUAACACCGCAAGGUUGAAAGGCUUGCCACUGGGGGAGGGGCCUGCGGCCUAUUAGCUUGAUGGUGGGGUAAUGGCCUACCAUGGCGAUGAUGGGUAGCUGGUCUGAGAGGAUGAUCAGCCAGACUGGGACUGAGACACGGCCCAGACUCCUACGGGAGGCAGCAGUUCAGAAUCUUGCGCAAUGGGCGAAAGCCUGACGCAGCGAUACCGCGUGGGUGAAGAAGGCCUUCGGGUCGUAAAGCCCUGUCAGGGGGAAAGAUUAUGACGGUACCCCCUAANGGAAGCCNACNGGNCUNAAUUACGUGCCNAGCAGNCCGNCGGUNAAUACGUNAAGUGGNCGAGCGUUAUNCCGGAAUCACUGGGCGUAAAGAGUGCGUAGGCGGUUAGGUNAAGUUAGAUUUGAAAGCCCNGGGGCUCAACUCCGGACCCGGAUCUAAAANCUACCUGACUGGAGCGAAUCAGAGGACAACGGAAUUCCCGGUGUAGCGGUAAUAUGCGUAGAUAUCGGGAGGAACACCAGUGGCGAAGGCGGUUGUCUGGGGUUUUGCUGACGCUGAGGCACGAAAGCCAGGGGAGCGAACGGGAUUAGAUACCCCGGUAGUCCUGGCCCUAAACGAUGAACACUAGGUGUAGGAGGCUUCGACCCCUUCUGCGCCGCCGCUAACGCAUUAAGUGUUCCGCCUGGGGAGUACGGCCGCAAGGUUGAAACUCAAAGAAAUUGACGGGGCCCCGCACAAGCAGUGGAGCAUGUGGUUUAAUUCGAUGCUACGCGAAAAACCUUACCAAGACUUGACUUCCCGAUGUAAGCCUUUAGAAAUAUUGGNCCCCCUUCGGGCAUCGGUGACAGGUGGUGCAUNGGUUGUCGUCAGCUCGUGCCGUGAGGUGUUGGAUUAAGUUCCGCAACGAGCGCAACCCUCGUCGUUAGUUGCCAGCAUUAAGUUGGGCACUCUAGCGAGACCGCCGGCGUCAAGCCGGAGGAAGGUGGGGAUGACGUCAAAUCAUCAUGCCCCUUACGUCUUGGGCUACACACGUGCUACAAUGGCCAGUACAACGGGCUGCCACGGCGCGAGCCGGAGCGAAUCCUCAAAGCUGGUCUCAGUUCGGAUUGUAGGCUGCAACUCGCCUGCAUGAAGCUGGAAUUGCUAGUAACCGUGGAUCAGCAUGCCGCGGUGAAUACGUACUCGGGGCUUGUACACACCGCCCGUCACACCACGAAAGUAGGCAACACCCGAAGUCCGUGGGCUAACCGUAAGGAAGCAGCGGCCGAAGGUGGGGUCAAUGAUUGGGGUG